UUGAAACUGUUAGCAGCAUGUUGAAGCAGUGUCUUAUUAAUGUGGACUACUCGCAACUGCGUGCGAAGCAGCCCCCCAAGUGCGGCGAGAUCUUCUAUGAAAGUGACAAUGACAGUGAAUACAACAGCUUCCAAUUGGUUUGUUGCCUUUGCGACAUGAAGUACUUUGAUUUCAAGGAUUUCAUGAUGCACAUUCGCAAUGUGCACAUUGACAAGCCACAUAGCUCUAGUAAGGUAGCGGGCGCAUCACCGCACACCGAUGAUGGCGUGGAAUUUCUAUCCGAGGACAUAUCUGAAGAGGAGGACGAAGCAGAGGGCGCGGAAACUGACCCAGUAGACACAAACCCAUUGCGCGUGUGUGCGUUUAGUAAAUUGAGCAGGUGUGCACAGCCUGAACCAGAUAAGAUUUGGCUGCAGGAACUGAGUGAAAAUGAAAAUACUGAGGAAGAUUCUAAUGAUGACGAAACGGCAGCUGACAGUGAAGCAGAAGAGGAAGUGCAGACUGUCUUCAAGCGACAAGCGACAGGCAAGGAAUAUACAUGUGAAUACUGCGCAGGCAAGUAUACCACACUCAAGUACCUCAAAAUGCAUCUAAAAAUGAGUCACCCACAUCCAAAUGGCUACAAGUGUGACGAUUGUUCCGCCACUUUUGAUGUUGAGCGCGCCUUGAAUGCACAUCGACGAAAAAUGCAUACGGAAUUUUGUUGUAAUCUCUGCGGUAAAGUGUACAAAAGUUCUCGCACGCUGCUGAGGCAUAUACAAGGACACUCUGGAGUACGUCAGUACAAGUGUGACUUCGAUAACUGCGGCAAAUCCUUUGUCAGCCAGCAUAAUCUAUCAUCGCAUCGGCGUGUGCACAAUACUGAUCGCAAUUAUGUAUGUGAGCUAUGUGGCUAUCGCUCUCGCUAUCGGGAUGCGUUAAUUGUGCAUCGACGCUCUCACACCGGCGAGAAGCCAUUCAAGUGCCAAAGCUGCACCCGCUGUUUUGCCUCCAAAUCGCUACUCAAUGAACAUCAGGCCAUGCACUCCACAGAGCGUCCCUACAAAUGCGACAAGUGUGAAGCAGCCUUCUCACGCCCCAAGGCCCUGUAUCAUCACAAGCAUCUUCACCUAGGCAUUAAGAAGUUUAAAUGCAAAGUCUGUGGCAAUGCCUAUGCUCAGGCGGCUGGCUUGUCUGCUCAUAUGCGCAGCCACAAAGCACAAACAAUUGCUGGCAAUGAACUCGCUGUAGUCAAUUGAAUCUCUCUGUAGUAUACUGAUUAGUGUUUUAAAAUCCUGUUAAUGUUAUAACGAGAAUAUUAUUAGUGUAGUUGAUCAGAAGUACAAUCCCGUUAAACGUUCUUCCAAUAUGCGAAAGAAAGAAUUGAGAAUAAUUUUCUUUAAUUUAAAGAUUUGGAGAACCAUGGAUGGCAAUGUGGUGCCUGGAUAUCCGCGUUGUCUGCAGUGUCAAAAUUAUCGACGUUGUUCUGUUUUUAGUUCAAGUGUGAACACCGAUAUAAGCAGUAAAAAUAAAUUGAAAAUAU